AGCCCCGUAGUGUAGCGGCCAAUCAUACAAGCCUCUGGAGUUUGUGACCCAAGUUCGAAUCUUGGCGGGGCUA
rnacentral:tRNA from 2 species